rnacentral:rRNA from 1 species
GGAAUUGACGGGGCCGCACAAGCGGUGGAGCAUGUGGUUUAAUUCGACGCAACGCGAAGAACCUUACCAGGGCUUGACAUCCCCUGACCGCGUAUGAAAGUACGUUUUCACCCUCGGGUGACAGGGAGACAGGUGGUGCAUGGUUGUCGUCAGCUCGUGUCGUGAGAUGUUGGGUUAAGUCCCGCAACGAGCGCAACCCCUACGUUUAGUUGCUAACGCGUGAAGGCGAGCACUCUAGACGAACUGCCGUUGACAAAACGGAGGAAGGUGGGGAUGACGUCAAGUCCUCAUGGCCCUUAUGGGUAGGGCUUCACACGUCAUACAAUGGUCGGUACAGAGGGUUGCCAAGCCGCGAGGCGGAGCCAAUCCCACAAAGCCGAUCGUAGUCCGGAUUGUUCUCUGCAACUCGAGAGCAUGAAGUCGGAAUCGCUAGUAAUCGCGGGUCAGCAUACUGCGGUGAAUACGUUCCCGGGUCUU